GCGAGCGUGGCGGAAUUGGUAGACGCAGCAGAUUUAGGUUCUGCCGCUUAACAGCGUGGGGGUUCGAUUCCCUCCGUUCGCACCA
rnacentral:tRNA from 2 species